rnacentral:rRNA from 1 species
UUAAAUGGCUGCAGAAUUUUAACUGUACAAAGGUAGUAUAAUAAUUAGUUUCUUAAUUAGGAACUGGAAUGAAUGAUUGGACGAAAUAGUGACUGUCUUAGUUUAAAUUUUAGAAUUUUAUUUUUGAGUUAAAAAGCUUAAAUUUUUUUAAAAGACGAGAAGACCCUAUAGAAUUUUAUAUUAUUUGAAUAUUUUAUUAUUAGAAUUUUAAUAUAGAAUUUUUUAAUUAAUAUUUAGUUGGGGUGAUUGAAAAAUUUAAUAAACUUUUUUUUUAUUAUUAACAUUAAUAUAUGAUUAUAUGAUCCAGUUUUUCUGAUUAUAAGAUUAAAUUACCUUAGGGAUAACAGCGUAAUUUUUUUAGAGAGUUCUAAUCGAUAAAAGAGAUUGCGACCUCGAUGUUGGAUUAAAGUUUAUUUUUAAUGUAGGAGUUAAAAUAUUAGGUCUGUUCGACCUUUAAAACUUUACAUGAUCUGAGUUUAAACCGGUGUGAGCCAGGUUGGAUUCUAUCUUUAAUUAAAUUAAAUGUUUUAGUACGAAAGGACCAAGUAUUUGUUAUAAUAAUUUUAUUAGAA